rnacentral:rRNA from 1 species
AUGAUUGAGGGGGAUGAGAAGUGGAGGUUGACUGGGAUCUAUGGUGAACCGAAUUGGGAUUGGAAAGAGAGGACAUGGACGAACUUACGUGACCUGCAUGAACUCUACAAAAUUCCAUGGCUCGUGUUGGGGGAUUUUAAUGAAAUACUCUUCAAUUCGGAGAAGGAAAGAGGUAAUCUAAGACCUGUGAGAUUUAUGCAGGAAUUCCAGAAUUGUUUAGAUCACUGUGGUUUGGGUGACAUGGAAUAUGUGGGUGAUAAAUUUACUUGGAGAAGGGGGUAGAUUAGAGAAAGACUUGACAGAUCUGUGUGUUCGUCCGAAUGGAGGAACCUUUUCCCUUUUGCAGCGCUGAUCAAUGAGAGCAUGACAAAAUCAGAUCAUCGUCAGAUGUGA